UUUGACAUACUACUGUUACUUGAGAGAGAUCGAGAGGACCUUAGCUUGCUAAGGAGGUAGAACAGGUGCUGCAUGGCUGUCGUCAGCUCGUGUCGUGAGAUGUUGGGUCAAGUCCCGCAACGAGCGCAACCCCUAUAGCCAGUUGCUAACGAGUCGAGUCGAGCACUCCGGCGAGACUGCCGCCGACAAGGCGGAGGAAGGUGGGGACGACGUCAAGUCAUCAUGGCCUAUAUGCCCAGGGCGACACACGUGCUACAAUGGCCGGCACAAAAGGCAGCUUGCCAGCGAUGGUUGGCGGAUCCAGAAAAGCCGGUCCCAGUUCGGAUUGCAGACUGCAACUCGUCUGCAUGAAGCCGGAAUCGCUAGUAAUCGCAGAUCAGCCAAGCUGCGGUGAAUACGUUCCCGGGCCUUGUACACACCGCCCGUCACACCACCCGAGUUGGGGGCACCCGAAGCCGCGAGCUUAACCGCAAGGGAAGAAGCGUCGAAGGUGCGCCUGGUAAGGGGGGUGAAGUCGUAACAAGGUAGCCGUACCGGAAGGUGCGGCUGGAUCACCUCCUUU
rnacentral:ncRNA from 1 species